rnacentral:rRNA from 1 species
GACGUGAUAAGCUGCGAAAAGCUGCGGGGAGUUGCACAAAAGCUGUGAUCCGCAGAUAUCCGAAUGGGGCAACCCAGCUGGUUGAAGACCAGUUACCAUUUAAUGGAGCGAACCCGGGGAACUGAAACAUCUAAGUACCCGGAGGAAAGGACAGCAAUAGCUACUCCCCUAGUAGUGGCGAGCGAACGGGGACCAGCCGAGCCUUGAGUGUGAAUAGAAUGGUCUGGAAAGGCCAACCAUAGUGGGUGACAGUCCCGUAUAUGAAGCAUGAUAGGACGUAUUAAGUAGGGCGGGACACGUGAAAUCCUGUCUGAAGAUCGGAGGACCACCUUCGAAGGCUAAGUACUCCUGACUGACCGAUAGUGAACCAGUACCGUGAGGGAAAGGCGAAAAGAACCCCUGUGAGGGGAGUGAAAUAGAUCCUGAAACCGUGUACGUACAAGCAGUGGGAGCCCCUUCGUGGGGUGACUGCGUACCUUUUGUAUAAUGGGUCAGCGACUUACAU